CGAGGAUUCCCCUAGUAACGGCGAGUGAAUGGGGAAAAGCCCAGCGCUUAAGCUCUGCGCCGUUUCGGUGUAGAGCGGUGUAGCGUAUAGAGGCGAUUGUCCGCAGUCGACGCUGAUAUAAGUUCCCCUUGACUGGGGUUCCAUAGAAGGUGCAAGUCCUGUUCUGUCAGCGUCGUCGACGGUUGGUCGUUUCUUAGAGUCGGGUUGCUUGGGAUCGCAGCUCAAAGUUGGUGGUAAACUUCAUCAAAGGCUAAAUACGGCCACGAGACCGAUAGCAAACAAGUACCGUGAGGGAAAGUUGCAAAGUACUUUGAAGAGAGAGUUAAAAGGACGCGAAAUCGGUAAGAUCGAAACGGAUAGUGCCAACGUAUCUCGCUUGUAUUCAGCGGUUAGUCGGCGCACAGCGCUGCGUUGUCGUCCUCGAUGAGGCGGUGCGUAACGUUGAGGUGCAGGCUGACCGUGCAUUUGCAAGUUUGGUGCGCUCAGAGGUACGGUCGGGAUUCGUGAACCACGUUUAGAGGCCAAACUUCGGUUUGUAACCUGGAUAGUUGGGUAGCGUCUCUUGGCUGUGCUUAUCGUACGUCCUGGCUUACGCUUUGGCGGGUUCUUUGGAAGCGUACUCGGCUGAAGGCUUGCCUCUCAGUUGUUUGCGUGACUAAUUGUGCCCGUCAUUGCUCAGUGGCGUUGUCUGGGYGUAAAAGUUGGUCUACUAACCGACCCGUCUUGAAACACGGACCAAGGAGUUUAGCGUAUGUGCGAGUCAUUGGGUGAUAAAACCUAAAGGCGUAAUGAAAGUAAAGGGCCGUAAGGUCUGAUAUGCGAUCAUUGUGUCUACGGAUGCUUUGAGCAGCAUAGCCCCGUCUCAAUUGCUUGCAAUGGGGCGGAGGUAGAGCAUAUGCGCUGAGACCCGAAAGAUGGUGAACUAUGCCUGAGCAGGAUGAAGCCAGAGGAAACUCUGGUGGAAGUCCGAAGCGGUUCUGACGUGCAAAUCGAUCGUCUGACUUGGGUAUAGGGGCGAAAGACUAAUCGAACCAUC
rnacentral:rRNA from 1 species